GUUUUAUUCAAAUAUGCGAUUUGAUUGUUGAUUUUGGCGGUACCAUUCGAAUAGAAACCCUAGAAACAGAAAUUAACGAAAAACAAGACUACGAGAGCGAUUCAGGUUUUCGAUUCGAUCGUUGAUUUUGGCGGUACGGUUCGAACAGAAACCCUAGAAACAGAAAAGAAAACGAGAGCGAUUAAAGAAGAUUACGAAAUCUGAGAAAAUGUCUAGCGAAAAGGGCAAAGAGCACGUGAUCCUGAAGAAGAAGAGAAAGAUAGGGUUAAACAAUGCAUACAACUAGGCAUGAAACAUAACCUGAACGCGAACGAGGUUAAGCAUGUUCUCUAUGACAAGAUAGAUAAGCGUUCCUUUCCAGAGGCCAUUUGGCAGGAAUUUGAACAACAGAAACAAGAAUUGUUUGACAACUAUUCAAGGUUGAUUAUGAAAGAACUGCAUAUAAAACAACCUGAAGUGAUGAAUCAGUCUAAUACACCACCAGUAAGUUCUGAUUGUGGAGCGUCGUCAUCUUUGCUUGAGAAUACGUCUACCAGACGACCGGAAGAGAUGCAGAUGGUAAAAAAUCUGAUAGAACAAUGUCUAGUGUAUCACAUGAGCCCGAAGCAGGCGAUGGAUGUUCUCUAUCAGAAAGAAAAGAUAGAGCCUUACUUUACAAAGACUGUUUGGCGGCUUCUUAAAGAACAAAAUCCAGAAUUCUUCAGGAAGUACUAUAUUCGGUUGGCUGUGAUAGACCAAGUACUAAGGUUCAAUGAUCUGAUUGAAAAACAAGCUGAAAUGAUGAGUCAGUUGAAUCAUCACCCAAAUGAAGUUGCUGAAAUGAGGAGUUUCAAGUAUGCGGUAGCUGAAGCAACACCAAUUACUGAAGUGGAAAUUGAUCGACAUAAACUGGGGGUUUUUGGACUUCAGUUCCAGGCCCCACCGACACCACUCUAACUCUUGCCCUCCGCUGACAACUAUCAGCAUGGCUUUGGCUCAGGUGAACGGCAGGUCCUGAAUAGCAAAUUUUGUAUGGGAAACUCCAAACUGAAUUUCAAGUUUUUUAUAUGUACAUGAAAAGUGACACGAAUAUGCAUAUGGUUGUUGUCACAUAAGUACUCAUACUUGUUUAGUUCCAAAACAGAUGACCAAACUUAAUUCAACUACGCAUUGAAUUGUUGAUUUUGGUUUAAA